rnacentral:rRNA from 1 species
AUUGAACGCUGGCGGCAGGCCUAACACAUGCAAGUCGAGCGUGAAAGCACUUCGGUGUGAGUAGAGCGGCGGACGGGUGAGUAACGCGUAGAAAUCUGCCUAGUAGUGGGGGACAACCUGGUGAAAACCAGGCUAAUACCGCAUACGUCCUACGGGAGAAAGCGGGGGAUCUUCGGACCUCGCGCUAUUAGAUGAGUCUGCGUAAGAUUAGCUUGUUGGUGGGGUAAAAGCCUACCAAGGCGACGAUCUUUAGCUGGUCUGAGAGGACGAUCAGCCACACUGGAACUGAGACACGGUCCAGACUCCUACGGGAGGCAGCAGUGGGGAAUAUUGCACAAUGGGCGAAAGCCUGAUGCAGCCAUGCCGCGUGUGUGAAGAAGGCCCUAGGGUUGUAAAGCACUUUCAAUUGGGAGAAAAAGCUAAUGGUUAAUAACUAUUAGCCUUGAUGUUACCUUUAGAAGAAGCACCGGCUAACUCCG